rnacentral:rRNA from 1 species
GACGAACGCUGGCGGCGUGCCUAAUACAUGCAAGUAGAACGCUGAAGCGAGGAGCUUACUCUUCUUGGAUGAGUUGCGAACGGGUGAGUAACGCGUAGGUAACCUGCCUUGUAGCGGGGGAUAACUAUUGGAAACGAUAGCUAAUACCGCAUAACAAUGGAUGACACAUGUCAUUUAUUUGAAAGGGGCAAUUGCUCCACUACAAGAUGGACCUGCGUUGUAUUAGCUAGUAGGUGAGGUAAUGGCUCACCUAGGCGACGAUACAUAGCCGACCUGAGAGGGUGAUCGGCCACACUGGGACUGAGACACGGCCCAGACUCCUACGGGAGGCAGCAGUAGGGAAUCUUCGGCAAUGGGGGCAACCCUGACCGAGCAACGCCGCGUGAGUGAAGAAGGUUUUCGGAUCGUAAAGCUCUGUUGUAAGUCAAGAACGGGUGUGAGAGUGGAAAGUUCACACUGUGACGGUAGCUUACCAGAAAGAGACGGCUAACUACGUG